UACGAAGGGGACUAGCGUUGUUCGGAAUCACUGGGCGUAAAGCGCACGUAGGCGGAUUUGUAAGUCAGGGGUGAAAUCCCGGGGCUCAACCUCGGAACUGCCUUUGAUACUGCGAAUCUUGAGUCCGAUAGAGGUGGGUGGAAUUCCUAGUGUAGAGGUGAAAUUCGUAGAUAUCAGGAGGAACACCGGUGGCGAAAGCGGCUUCCUGGCCCGACAUUGACGCUCAUGUACGAGAGCGUGGGGAGCAAACAGG
rnacentral:rRNA from 1 species